UAGAAUAUGAACGAUCAUAGUCCUUUCCUUCCACUUUGCUCAGAUCGUGUCUAAGAUACUCACAUGCCUGAGACAGUGACUCUGCAAAAGUUUCCACCUUCAAUAUUUUUCCACAAAACUAAACUAAGAUAAUUUCCUUUCCAUCAAAGGAAUCCACAAAGUCUCAGUAAUUCCUCAGAACUUCUGCAUGUUCUUUCCGGAAAAAGUAACUAGAUUUUGAUUUCUUGGAAGGGUGAUAUUACUCGUUGGUGGUCUGUGCGCAUGAAAGGAGAUGGAACAGACUUUGGAACAAGUUCAAGAUAUCGACAAGUUGCGAAGAAGUUUGUGUCAAAGUUGUUGAAUAUUCUGCAUCGAUCACUCUCCAAGUUGGAUAGCAGUUAUCAGAUCGUUUAUCAUUCGACCAAAUCUAGUCUUCAUCACUCGACCAAAAUGAGAGGAUUAAAGUCAGCAAAGAAAAGGGAUGAAUGCCCUGCAGAAGUGGCAAAUAAUUCUCCAUUUCAAAGUCAAUUCCCCAAAUCCAGUGCAACCUGAUCUCCUGCCAUUAAUAUCCUUUCACCAUGCAUAUUUAUACGCGAUCAUCACAUUCCAGUCAUUCACUACAGUGCA